rnacentral:rRNA from 1 species
AUACGGAGGAUCCGAGCGUUAUCCGGAUUUAUUGGGUUUAAAGGGAGCGUAGGCGGACGCUUAAGUCAGUUGUGAAAGUUUGCGGCUCAACCGUAAAAUUGCAGUUGAUACUGGGUGUCUUGAGUACAGUAGAGGCAGGCGGAAUUCGUGGGGUAGCGGUGAAAUGCUUAGAUAUCACGAAGAACUCCGAUUGAGAAGGCUGCCUGCUGGACUGUAACUGACGCUGAUGCUCGAAAGUGUGGGUAGCAAACAGGAUUAGAUACCCUGGUAGUCCACACAGUAAACGAUGAAUACUCGCUGUUUGCGAUAUACAGUAAGCGGCCAAGCGAAAGCGUUAAGUAUUCCACCUGGGGAGUACGCCGGCAACGGUGAAACUCAAAGGAAUUGACGGGG